AUCCUUUUGUAGUUCAUAAGCGUGACGACUGGGUUUUCGUGCGCAUGCGUGAGAUGUGCCUCCCACCAGUCUUGUUAGACGUCGGCACGUUCCCCGUCUGGCA